rnacentral:rRNA from 1 species
GAUGAACGCUGGCGGCGUGCCUAAUACAUGCAAGUCGAGCGAAUGGACGAGACGUUCGCCUGUAUGAUGUUAGCGGCGGAUGGGUGAGGAAUAUGUGUCUAACCUAUAUAUAGGACUGGGAUAAUUUCGGGAAACCGGAGACAACACAGGAUAAUAUUUAGAACCGCAUGGUUCAUAAGACAAAUACGGUCCUGAUGUCACUUAUACAUGGAUCCGCGAUGCAUUAGCAAGUUGGUAAGGUAACGGCGUACCAAGGCAACGAUGCUUAGCUGAACUGAGAGGGUGAUCGGUCACACUGGAACUGAGACACGGUCCAGACUCCUACGGGAGGCAGCAGUGGGGAAUCUUCCACAAUGGGCGAAAGCCUGACGGAGCAACGCCGCGUGAGUGAAGAAGGUCUUCGGAUCGUAAAGCUCUGUUAGUCGGGAAGAACGUAUGUGAGAGUAUCUGUGCACAUCUUGACGGUACCAAAUCAAAAAGCCACGGCUAACUACGUG